CAGCAGACACAUUCCAGCCAAUCAGCAGCAGACCCUUCCUCCCACCUCCUGGACAGCUCACUAAGAAUGCAGCUUCAAACUGGAUGCUGUUCAGGAGGUGGGAGGGUCUGGGAGGGAGGGUCUGCUGCUGAUUGGCUGGAAUGUGUCUGCUG